GGCGUGGUGGCUUAGUGGUUAGCAUGGUUGCCUUGUACCUGCAGGGUUGGGGGUUCGAAUCCCACCUCCACCC